UUUCGAAUCAUUCACAAUGGGCGAAAGCCUGAUGGUGCGACGCCGCGUGAGGGAUGAAGGUCUUCGGAUUGUAAACCUCUGUCACUGGGGAGAAAACGCGCUCGGUUAACAACCGAUCGCCUGAUUUAACCCGGAGAGGAAGCAGUGGCUAACUCUGUGCCAGCAGCCGCGGUAAUACAGAGACUGCAAGCGUUAUUCGGAUUCACUGGGCGUAAAGGGUGCGCAGGCGGCCGUGUGUGUAAGAUGUGAAAUCCCGGGGCUCAACCCCGGAACUGCGUCUUAAACUACAUGGCUAGAGUACUGGAGAGGGUAGCGGAAUUCACGGUGUAGCAGUGAAAUGCGUAGAUAUCGUGAGGAACACCAGAGGCGAAGGCGGCUACCUGGACAGUUACUGACGCUC
rnacentral:rRNA from 1 species